rnacentral:sRNA from 1 species
ACGCUGAUAAUCUCUGAUAACUUAUGCUAAACACAGCUCUCCCCUGUCCAGGGAAUGCUUCCAUUAAUCAUCUAUCAAGACUUUCCUGAGAUUUCUUCUAUAAUGAUGCAAAAGCUUUUUGCUAAAUUCAAGUCGAGCUCUGUGUCCUCAAGUCACACAAUCUAAUCAGAGAACAAAACCUACUCAGCAGGAGCUAUUCUUACGCCUGGAGGUGGCGUGAAGGGAAGGACUGUUAAGCAGAAUCUUCUGUCAUGAAGACUGACUGCAGACAAAGCUGGUCUGGGGCAGCACAGAGUGGAUUUACUACACAUCUGGUGACUGAAUAGAUACCCUUUUAAGAAAGACUAACCAGGCUAAUCAAAGUGGGAAGAGGUACAAAUCCGACCGUCUCUGGACUAGUAUAAUUCAUUCCACACUGAAAGGAGGAAAGGCAUUAAGCAACAGAAGUGGAAAGAAACUCUCUCUGUUCGAUUUACACACCAUACCUACGACUUCCUCAACAUCAUGAGAGUGCUGGGCACAUGCUGGAAAUGUCCUGCUUGCUCGGCGGUGAGGGUGGUCUCUGUCGUGUCCCCUCCAUACCUCCACUUGAAAGCUGCACCAUCAGGAGGCAAGCAUAACCAUUGAGAGCAUUUAGAAAACAUUUAUAGCAUUUAUAGACUAGAUACUAACAGAUGUUAAAAUUCUGCCUCUUCAACUAUUAGAAUUUCCUACGAGCAAACUACUUGAUGAUUCUAGGGUUCAUUGUCCAGAUGCUCAUUUCAACAAUGUGUAGAGUCAGGUUGGGCUCUCUCAAUCCAUUAUUAUGCAAGCAGCUAGCAACAGACGCAUGGUUUCUGUAUCAAGUCUCAUCAGACAACCAUGGUGUCUCAGGAAGUGCGAUGCACAUGGCAAGGGGAGAUCCCGGAGGCCCUGAGGAAUUAGAACAUGGAAAGGGAGGGUUAAAAGUGAGUGUGCCAGAUUAGGUCAGUGGGGGAGACGUAUCCCAGAAAGAGGUGCUGAAUGAAAUAAAUACGGAAUAAAAUGCCCCUCAAGAAACUAAAGUGGUGACAUGGGAGCAAAACCUGAGCCAAGAGGAGAAACAGCUCAGUGUCCCUUUCAGGAGCAGGGGAUUUGCAUGGGCUGGGGAAGUGGUUCGGUGGAGAAGCUCUUGUGCAAGUGUGAGCAGCAGAGUCAGAUAUCCAGCACCCAUGCAAAUUCAGAGCGGGCAUGGAGGCCUCCCUGUAAUCCCUGUUCUUGGGAGCAAGCCAGGUAUUUACCCUGGAUGAUCCCAGAGCUCCUUGUUCAAGCUGCCUCACCAAACUAAAUGAAAAGCAAUAGAGGACAACAGGAUCUCUCAACUUCUGGGUGUGCCUCCACCUGCACAUGUGCACACACA